CGUUCCCGGGCCUUGUACACACCGCCCGUCAAGUCACGAAAGUUGGUAACACCCGAAGCCGGUGACCUAACCCCUUGUGGGAGGGAGCUGUCGAAGGUGGGACUGGCGAUUGGGACU
rnacentral:rRNA from 1 species